AUUGUGUGCCCUGAAUCACUACCAUGGAGAAAUCUUUGCAUAUCCAGUUCAAAAGGACAUGGCAGAGAGAGCAAAUGUUACCUUCUUCGCAAUGGAUGUUAUCUGCAAGCUACUGGCCCUACCUAAGCAAGGUGGCUGAUAAUUUCACCGAUAUGCAGCCGUUGAUGGAAAUGAGACCAUUUCUGAGUGUCGUGCAUGCCAAAGCACACACAGCAAAAUGCGAGGUGAGAUGGGGCGGCAGGAAUCAGGAUGGAGCAGGAAAUACUGUCGGAGAGGAAGUUUAGCAAGUAUGUUAUUACUGACUUUGUAACUAUGUGGACAUAGGAGACUUCACUGAUACAUGUGAGAGUUAAGCAGAGUGUGGAGGAUAAAGUACAUCAGGAUAUCACAGCACAGCAAUGGGUGUGUGAUGUUCAACAGUGGGCAGUAACAGAGCCAGGGAGCACAACACAACAGGGAGCAACCAAGGAUCUCAGGGCUGAGAUAGAAAGUAUCAUAGUGGCCCUGCUACGCAAGAAACAGGACCUCUAUCGUCAGCAUGAUAGCAACCAGACCAGACAAAGAAAGAGAAGAAAAAUAAGAGUAUUAAAAACAAACUAAGACAAAACAUCCGGCUCUACAAUGCUACUGCAGAGGAUCCGAUUGAUGAGGAAUUGGUGUCCAAUUUGACAGAGAAGUGAGG